rnacentral:pre_miRNA from 14 species
CUUGCAAAUAUUUUUGGCAUUCUGUCAACUUCCUUUUGAUUUAUUCAUGGUGUUUUUUGUCAUUCAGAAGUUUUAGGUUUUUCUGUAGUCAAAGAUGACAAUGCAUAUAGUCAUCUUUU